rnacentral:misc_RNA from 1 species
ACAUUAAAUUCAGGUGAUCCCACGCUGAUUGACUUGGUGCUUUUGCAGUUAGGCAUUCGCAACACUGCUGCACUAGAGCAUUAGAACAAACAUAUGGCGUGCGUGUGUGAGUCACAGACAAACCUGCAGCGUCAGGGGCUACUACGCCUCGUGGAUGGCAUGCACGCGCGCGGCGGUCGCGAGCACCUCAACACUCCGAUUGCUGAGGCAGGUUGCGGAUGAUCAAUCCUUGAAGAGCUCGAAAGCGUGGUCGGCUAUUGGAGCGCACGGUGCCGCGGAGCAGCUCGGCAUGCCCCGUCCACCUCGUGCUCAACGACUCCACGCUCGCGCUGUCCUCGACGGCGAUGCCCCAGCUGUCGACCUCGUCGGUGGAGCCCGCGAGCGGAAGCAGGCGCUUGCACUUCACGGCGUCCACGAUGGUGUGCCGCCGCCGCCAUGUCCAGAAACUCCGGCGCACACAGCAC